rnacentral:lncRNA from 1 species
UUAGCAUCAUGGCCGGCCCUAGGGUAUUUUUGGGCUAAUUAGGCCUUUGUGAAUCAUUAGUCAUUAAGUUGUCAUACAACUUAAGUCAAUGGGCUUGACGUUCAAAGCCCAUUGGGCCUUAAUGUCCAAAACUAUCCCGAGGUCUUUAACGAACUUAUUCGUUUGAUUAAUUAACAUAUUAAUUAAUUCUUGCCAUAAAUAAAUGAUUAAACCAUUUAAUCAUUCUUACUCAUCUCCAUUGUUUCUUCAAUCUCCACCUUAC